rnacentral:rRNA from 1 species
AGGGUUCGAUUAUGGCUCAGAUUGAACGCUGGCGGCAGGCCUAACACAUGCAAGUCGAGCGGUAACAGGAAGUAGCUUGCUACUUCGCUGACGAGCGGCGGACGGGUGAGUAAUGCCUGGGAAUAUGCCUUGAUGUGGGGGAUAACUAUUGGAAACGAUAGCUAAUACCGCAUAAUGCCUACGGGCCAAAGAGGGGGAUCUUCGGACCUCUCGCGUCAAGAUUAGCCCAGGUGGGAUUAGCUAGUUGGUGGGGUAAAGGCUCACCAAGGCGACGAUCCCUAGCUGGUCUGAGAGGAUGAUCAGCCACACUGGAACUGAGACACGGUCCAGACUCCUACGGGAGGCAGCAGUGGGGAAUAUUGCACAAUGGGGGAAACCCUGAUGCAGCCAUGCCGCGUGUAUGAAGAAGGCCUUCGGGUUGUAAAGUACUUUCAGCAGUGAGGAAGGUGGUGAUGUUAAUAGCAUCAUCAUUUGACGUUAGCUGCAGAAGAAGCACCGGCUAACUCCGUGC